AUGGCGACCGGCGCACGGGUGAGUAACGCGUAUGCAACUUACCUAUCAGAGGGGGAUAGCCCGGCGAAAGUCGGAUUAAUACCCCAUAAAACAGGGGUCCCGCAUGGGAAUAUUUGUUAAAGAUUCAUCGCUGAUAGAUAGGCAUGCGUUCCAUUAGGCAGUUGGCGGGGUAACGGCCCACCAAACCGACGAUGGAUAGGGGUUCUGAGAGGAAGGUCCCCCACAUUGGACUGAGACACGGCCAA
rnacentral:rRNA from 1 species